rnacentral:lncRNA from 12 species
CCCCCCCCCCCCCCCCCCCCCCCCCCCCCCCCCCCCCCCCCUCCCGGCCGCUCCCGGCCGCCGCUCCCGGCCCCGCGGGGCCCGCCGCUGGCUGUAAGCUCACGGGGCUCGGCACACCGCGCCUUGGGUCCCUCCGGACGCGCUGCGGCCUGGGCUCUGCCUGCGAGGGGCGGCCGGAGGUGUGUGUUGCCUCUUCGUCCCCUUCUGAUGGAGAGAGAGGCCGGAAAAGGGACAGUCCAUCCCAUUGCAACUGAACUCAGCCUAUGUUGUACUGACAACAUCACAGCUUCAUUGGCAUAGUAAUUGAGUCAAGUCCAUGUGGGAGUUAAGCCUGAAGAAAUCGUAUCACAUCCUGAAGGAUGUGUCACUCCUCCCUACAACACGGUAAGACAUAAGAACUACCUGAAUUCCUGUUGUCAAUUUUCAUGAGUUUCUCAAGAAUUUUAUGAACUGCUCUUUAGCUUUACAUCUCUGAGCACAGGAACACAUUAGGUGACUUGAAAAACAUUUCUAGGUACCAUAGUAGGAGAGAAAAAGCUUCAAUAUGCAAACUGAACAUCCUCCAAACACCUACAGGGAAGAUCAGGAUUUUUUACUAUCA